UACGGAGGGCGCAAGCGUUGUUCGGAAUCACUGGGCGUAAAGCGCGUGUAGGCGGCUUGGCAAGUCGGGUGUGAAAUCCCGAGGCUCAACCUCGGAACUGCACUCGAAACUGCCUCGCUCGAGUCCCGGAGAGGGAGGCGGAAUUCCCGGUGUAGGGGUGAAAUCCGUAGAUAUCGGGAGGAACACCAGUGGCGAAGGCGGCCACCUGGACGGUGACUGACGCUGAGACGCGAAAGCGUGGGGAGCAAACAGG
rnacentral:rRNA from 1 species